CAAAAAACUACUUAGACAGACUAUGAAGAGAUACAUAGGGUGAGAAACGGAGGCCUUCAGCCAACAGCUGGGAGAAGCUGAGUCCCAUCAGCCAUUCAAAAGACUGCAGCCCCAGCCAAGAGUUUGAUGUAACCUCAGGAGAGACCCUGAGCCAGAACCACCUAGAAAUCUCCAAGUGAGAAGACCUUACUUGUCUUCUGAAAGUCUGAAAAGCUGGGAUACAUGAAGACUGCCAUCCCUUGAGUCACUUGCCCUGUAGCUGCCACUGUUGGAAAAGGGCUUGCUUCUGUGUCCUUGUGCCCACUUUGAAAAUCCCUGGGAAGUCCUUGGAGUCAGAUGAGCAGGCCUCCGCCACUCUGCCAAAAAGUCUGUUCAAUCAGGAGUCCCCAACCCCUGAGCCAUGGACUGAUAUGGAGCUAUGGUCUGUUAGGAACUGGGCUGCCCAGGAGGAGCAAUGGUGCUUCUACAAUUUCCUUAUAGGAGGAGUGAAGAGUAAGCAUUUGGAUUGGACCAGGAUUUGGAGAACUUGUCAUGUUGCUCUACGUGCAUAUGAAAUACAUCAUUGUAACUUAGAAUGUGAAUUACAGAACAAACAUGAAAGUUAGAAAAAUAUUCUAAACAUAUUUUUAUGAUCU
rnacentral:lncRNA from 1 species